GAUGAAGAACGUAGCGAAAUGCGAUAAGUAGUGUGAAUUGCAGAAUUCAGUGAAUCAUCGAAUCUUUGAACGCCCAUUGCGCCCCUUGGUAUUCCAUGGGGCAUGCCUGUUCGAGCGUCAUUUGUACCCUCAAGCUAAGCUUGGUGUUGGGUGUUUGUCCACUCCCUCGUGUUUGGACUCGCCUUAAAACAAUUGGCAGCCAGUGUUUUGGUAUUGAAGCGCAGCACAAUUUGCGAUUCUAGCCUAGAAUACUAGCAUCCAUCAAGUCAUUUUUAACGCUUGACCUCGGAUCAGGUAGGGAUACCCGCUGAACUUAAGCAUAUCAAUAAGCGGAGGA
rnacentral:misc_RNA from 1 species